GAUGAACGCUGGCGGCGUGCCUAAUACAUGCAAGUCGAACGAACAGAUGAGGAGCUUGCUCCUCUGACGUUAGCGGCGGACGGGUGAGUAACACGUGGAUAACCUACCUAUAAGACUGGGAUGACUUCGGGAAACCGGAGCUAAUACCGGAUAAUAUAUUGAACCGCAUGGUUCAAUAGUGAAAGACGGUUUUGCUGUCACUUAUAGAUGGAUCCGCGCCGCAUUAGCUAGUUGGUAAGGUAACGGCUUACCAAGGCAACGAUGCGUAGCCGACCUGAGAGGGUGAUCGGCCACACUGGAACUGAGACACGGUCCAGACUCCUACGGGAGGCAGCAGUAGGGAAUCUUCCGCAAUGGGCGAAAGCCUGACGGAGCAACGCCGCGUGAGUGAUGAAGGUCUUCGGAUCGUAAAACUCUGUUAUUAGGGAAGAACAAAUGUGUAAGUAACUAUGCACGUCUUGACGGUACCUAAUCAGAAAGCCACGGCUAACUACGUG
rnacentral:rRNA from 1 species